rnacentral:rRNA from 1 species
GAUGAACGCUGGCGGCGUGCCUAAUACAUGCAAGUCGAGCGAACAGACGAGGAGCUUGCUCCUCUGACGUUAGCGGCGGACGGGUGAGUAACACGUGGAUAACCUACCUAUAAGACUGGGAUAACUUCGGGAAACCGGAGCUAAUACCGGAUAAUAUAUUGAACCGCAUGGUUCAAUAGUGAAAGACGGUUUUGCUGUCACUUAUAGAUGGAUCCGCGCCGCAUUAGCUAGUUGGUAAGGUAACGGCUUACCAAGGCAACGAUGCAUAGCCGACCUGAGAGGGUGAUCGGCCACCCUGGAACUGAGCCACGGUCCAGACUCCUACGGGAGGCAGCAGUAGGGAAUCUUCCGCAAUGGGCGAAAGCUUGACGGAGCAACGCCGCGUGAGUGAUGAAGGUCUUCGGAUCGUAAACCUCUGUUAUUAGGGAAGAACAAAUGUGUAAGUAACUAUGCACGUCUUGACGGUACCUAAUCAGAAAGCCACGGCUAACUACGUG